rnacentral:rRNA from 1 species
AGCGAACGCUGGCGGCGGGCUUAACACAUGCAAGUCGAGCGGGCAUCUUCGGGUGUCAGCGGCGGACGGGUGAGUAACGCGUGGGAACGUGCCUUCUGGUUCGGAAUAACUCAGGGAAACUUGAGCUAAUACCGGAUACGCCCUUUUGGGGAAAGGUUUACUGCCGGAAGAUCGGCCCGCGUCUGAUUAGCUAGUUGGUGGGGUAACGGCCUACCAAGGCGACGAUCAGUAGCUGGUCUGAGAGGAUGAUCAGCCACACUGGGACUGAGACACGGCCCAGACUCCUACGGGAGGCAACAGUGGGGAAUAUUGGACAAUGGGGGCAACCCUGAUCCAGCCAUGCCGCGUGAGUGAUGAGGGCCUUAGGGUUGUAAAGCUCUUUUAUCCGGGACGAUAAUGACGGUACCGGAGGAAUAAGCCCCGGCUAACUUCGUGCCAGCCGCCGCCGUAA